rnacentral:siRNA from 1 species
UGGCUCUUACAUUGUUGGAGGC